rnacentral:rRNA from 1 species
ACGGCGAUGGCGAUGGCAGAGACGGUUAAUAUUCCGUCACUGCCGCAUGGGGCGACGUGGAGACGGAGCAGUGAAACCACCGCGGGGCGACGGAAGUCCCCGUUGAAGAGUGUAGGUGUUGAGGAUGGCAGGCAAAUCCACCAUCCGAGCUGAACUUGACAGUACGGAGUCCUCCUCGGAGGAAUCUGAUAGUGUGGGUAAUCAUACUCCCGAGAAAAUCCGCUAAGCUUAACCCAUGCGGCACCCGUACCGCAAACGGACACACGUGGUCGGGUAGAACAUACUAAGGCGUUGAGAGAUUCAUGGUUAAGGAACUAGGCAAAUUGACCCUGUAACUUCGGGAUAAAGGGUCCUCGUGAUGAGCGAGGCGCAGAGAAUAGGUCCAGGCAACUGUUUAACAAAAACACAGGGCUGUGCAAACUCGAAAGAUGACGUAUACAGCCUGACACCUGCCCGGUGCCGGAAGGUUAAGAGGAGAUGUCAC